CUGCUGCCUUCCGUAGGAGUUUGGACCGUGUCUCAGUUCCAAUGUGGGGGACCUUCCUCUCAGAACCCCUACGCAUCGUCGGCUUGGUGGGCCGUUGCCCCACCAACUACCCUAAUGCGCCGCAUGCCCAUCCAUGACCGGGGUCGCCCCCCUUGACCGGCAGGGGAUGUCCCCUCCCGGCAUUAUGUUGUAUUAGGCGGGAUUUCUCCCCGGUUAUCCAUCUGUCACGGCCAGGUUGCAUACGUGUUACUCACCCGUGCGCCGGUCGCCGGCGG
rnacentral:rRNA from 1 species